AGGGUGAGGGAGGGGGUGGGAUGGGUGGGGGGUAACGGGGGAAACUGGGGAAGUGGGGAACCGAGGGGCAACCAGGGGAAGAUGGGGUGCUGGAGGAGAGCUUGUGGGAGCCAAGGAGCACCUUGGACAUCUGGAGUCUGGGGGAGCCAGGCAUUCAUCCCGGUCACUUUUGGUUACAGGACGUGGCAGCUGGGCUGGCGGGGAGAAGCAGACACCCUCCCAGCAGAGGGGCAGGAUGGGGGCAGGAGAGUUAGCAAAGGUGACAUCUUCUCGGGGGGAGCCGAGACUGCGCAAGGCUGGGGGGGGGGCGGGCGGGGCGGAGUGAAUGAGCUCUCAGGAGGGAGGAUGGCGGGCCUCGCGGGCGGCGACGGAGCCGGGAUCGGUGUCUCCAGCUGGGGUGGACGUGCCCACCAGCUGCCGAAGGCCAAGACGCCAGGUCCGACGGCCUUGAGUCUCAGUACGAGUGUGCGUGAGUGUGAGCCACCUUGGCAAGUGCCUGUGCAGGGCCCGGCCGCCCUCCAUCUGGGCCGGGUGACUGGGCGCCGGCUGUGUGCCCGAGGCCUCACCCUGCCCUCGCCUAGUCUGGAAGCUCCGACCGACAUCACGGAGCAGCCUUCAAGCAUUCCAUUACGCCCCAUCUCGCUCUGUGCCCCUCCCCACCAGGGCUUCAGCAGGAGCCCUGGACUCAUCAUCAAUAAACACUGUUACAGCAAUUU
rnacentral:lncRNA from 1 species